rnacentral:rRNA from 1 species
AUUAAAGAUUUAUCGGUGAUGGAUGGGGAUGCGUCUGAUUAGCUUGUUGGCGGGGUAACGGCCCACCAAGGCGACGAUCAGUAGGGGUUCUGAGAGGAAGGCCCCCACAUUGGAACUGAGACACGGUCCAAACUCCUACGGGAGGCAGCAGUGAGGAAUAUUGGUCAAUGGACGAGAGUCUGAACCAGCCAAGUAGCGUGCAGGAUGACGGCCCUAUGGGUUGUAAACUGCUUUUAUAAGGGAAUAAAGUGAGUCUCGUGAGACUUUUUGCAUGUACCNUUAUGAAUAAGGACCGGCUAAUUCCGUG